rnacentral:lncRNA from 1 species
UAUUGGACGUUUGGCAACGUGAAGUUUACCUGGUCGAGAACAAUGCAGAGCUUAUUGAAAUUUAAAACUAUUUUUAAAUUCCUUAGCCAGUCUUUAUAAUGAAUUUCAGUUAAGGAUUUUGUGUCGAGAAUAUGAGAGAUAUAAUUGGAAGUAGACAUUUACUUUGCAGAGAGUAAAGAUUCAAGUUAGAUAUUUGUAUUUGUUUUGAAAAAUUGUUUUAGGAAUUUUAAAAACAAAUUUAGCCUCCCAUUGUUUUCUCGAGUCUGUUACACUCCUCGGGUAGAGAAACAGAAACCCAACGCGACAAGAGGUUUCAAGUGGGUACUGCGGUCCCACCAAUUUAACGUACCACCUCACCUAACAGUUAUUGGUAAUAUGCAAACCGAUGAGUGGACAACUCUUGUCCAAUGCUUCUCAAGCAAAUUGCAGUGAUCGGUCUCUAAGUCCUGUAGGCCUCACCUGACAGUUAUUGGCCCAAUUCCUUAGUUAAGUCAGACCCACCGUUCAAACGCUAAGCAAAGCCGUCAUUGGGUCCCUCACCUGACAGUUAUUGGGCCCAACCCCAUCUUUACUCCGCAGCAUCUCAUGCUAAUAGAGUGGUUGCGAAUUCUCGAUGCAACUGACCACUGUAACCAGCCGUGCCAAUCAACACCAGAAAAGCGCCCGCACUUCUACAACGGCGAAAGACCGCUCGACUUAAUAUUUAUGAGGAGAUUUAUUUAGGUCUCAAAAAAAUAUUUUAUUUAUUUACAUCUAAUGCAAAUAAAAUAAAAAAUCAAUCCGCGCAAACAAACAUAAUUAAACUGGUGAUGAUCAUGGAUCUAAGAAGUGGAUUCGGACUCGAGCCACUGAGUCGGAAUCGGGGUCUUAGGGUCAUAAAUUACAAGCACACACACGUCAUCGGUUUGAUCAUCUUCAACUUCUUGAUCAGAUCUGGAGCUUCAACUUGAUUUGAUCCUUAUCAACACCUUGAUCCGACCGCCAUCAAGUAUUCGUCUCAAUCCGGGCCUUGUGAACUUUUAGGCUUGCAAUCGAUCAACCAAUGACGUGCAACCAUACAUUAUACAACCCAACAAUACAAAUGAAAUGAAAAUUAAUUACAUUUGAUAUCUUUUAUCUCUAAUCUAUUGAGACACGCAUGUUUCCAAAUAAAUCGGCUUGUGCACGCAGGCACAACUAUAGCCAUCUCUAAUACAAAGUCCUUAAUUUAAACAAAUUUAAAAUUACAGGAUUCUACAUACACAUCAUACAUCACAUGUCGAAAUAUAAAUAGGUCAUCAUAAUUUUAAUCUUAAAAACAUGAGGAUGGCUUUGAUACCACUGUUAGAAAAUUGCGUACGGUAAAAACGCAGCGGAAAAAGAAAUCAAACAAAUUUGAUUUUUGAAAACUCUCGAGAUCUAAUCUCAAAAACCACGCAAUUAGGAUCCCUCAUGUUUUAAGAUUAAAGAAGAAAAACAAGAUCGAAUCUUUACCUUUUUCGCAGAUAGAUCUUCCCCUCAAUUUGAUGAUCGUGGAAUUCGGUUCUCUUGAAGCCGCACACGCGUCCGGCCUCUAUAGGUAUCCACACGAGGUUCUUGAUUUG